rnacentral:rRNA from 1 species
AUUGAACGCUGGCGGCAGGCCUAACACAUGCAAGUCGAGCGGCAGCGGGAAAGUAGCUUGCUACUUUUGUCGGCGAGCGGCGGACGGGUGAGUAAUGCCUGGGAAAUUGCCCAGUCGCGGGGGAUAACAGUUUGAAACGACUGCUAAUACCGCAUACGCACUACGGGGGAAAGCAGGGGCCCUUCGGGCCGUGCGCGAUUGGAUAUGCCCAGGUGGGAGUAGCUAGUUGGUGAGGUAAUGCCUCACCAAGGCGACGAUCCCUAGCGGUUCUGAGAGGGGAAUCAGCCACACUGGAACAGCGAGACGGUGCAGACUCCUACGGGAGGCAGCGGUGGGGAAUAUUGAGCAAUGGGGGAGACCCUGAUGCAGCCAUGCGGCGUGUGUGAAGAAGGCGUUCUGGUUGUGAAGCACUCUCAGGGAGGAGAAAAGGUUGAUGCCUAAUACGUAUCAACUGUGACGUUACUCGCAGAAGAAGCACCGGCUAACUCCGUGCCAGCCGCCGCGGUAAUAC